CAGCAGCCACGGGUACACGGAGGGUGCAAGCGUUAAUCGGAAUUACUGGGCGUAAAGCGCACGCAGGCGGUCUGACAAGUCAGAUGUGAAAUCCCCGGGCUUAACCUGGGAACUGCAUUUGAAACUGUCAGGCUGGAGUCUUGUAGAGGGGGGUAGAAUUCCAGGUGUAGCGGUGAAAUGCGUAGAGAUCUGGAGGAAUACCGGUGGCGAAGGCGGCCCCCUGGACAAAGACUGACGCUCAGGUGCGAAAGCGUGGGGAGCAAACAGGAUUAGAUACCCCUGUAGUCCCUGUCUCUUAUAC
rnacentral:rRNA from 1 species